CCCUGAGGAGGAAAAGAAACCACAUCUAAGUAACAAGUAAGUCAGAAAUCAUUUACAAAGAUCAUUUACAGACCAAGAAACCAUGGCAUACACCCUCUACGCUCAUCAAAUGGAAGCAAACUUCUGAAAGACAAAAGAACAAUUGCACUACACUGGAAAGAGCACCACCAGAACCUCCUGGAUCGCAGCUCCAAUGUGCCCGAAGAGGCCUUCUCACAAAUCCCGCAACAACAAACCAGGGAUGAGCUUGCAGCACGGCCUAGUUUGGAAGAAGUCAGCAAUGCCAUCAGUCAACAAAAAAAUAACAAAGCCAGCGGACCUGAUGGGAUUCCUUCUGAAAUCUUCAAAGCAGGUGGACCUGAGCUGAUACAACAACUCCACCAUCUCGUUGAAAAAGUGUGGGUGACCGAGAAAAUCCCAGCAGACUUGAAGGAUACCACGAUCAUCUCCCUUUUCAAGAAAGGGGAUAGAACAGACUGGAAAUAUUGCUGUAUCUCUCUCUUAACCUCUGCUGGGAAAAUCCUCGCAAGAAUCCUUGCAAACCGCCUUCUACCUGUUUCUGAAGACAACCUCCCAGAAUCGCAGAAUGGCUUCCGCCCCUCCAGAGGAACAGUGGACAUGAUCUUCACUGCACGACAGCUCCAAGAAAAACGCAGGGAACAAAAUCAACCUCUGUACAUUGACCAUCCCCCAAAAAAUUGGGUGCCCUGACAAAUUUGUGAGCAUCCUGUGGCUUCUCCACGAUGCCAUGAUGGCAAUAGUCUUUAUUAUUUAUUUAUUUUUAUUUACAGUAUUUCUAUUCUGCCCUUCUCACCCCGAAGGGGACUCAGGGCGGAUCACAUUAUGUACAUAUAGGGCAAACAUUCAAUGCCCAUAAACACAUCGAACCGAGACAGAGAGACAGACAGACGCAGAGGCAAUUUAACCUUUUCCUGAGGGGAUGUUCGAUUCUGGCCACAGGGGGAGCAGCUGCUUCAUCAUCCACUCUGAUGGCACUUCCUCAUUCCAAUGUCGUAAAUUAGUUAAACUUGCCUCCCCACUUUUAUAAGUGGUACCUUAUUUCCUACUUGAUAGAUGCAACUAUCUUUCGGGUUGCUAGGUCAGCAACGAGGGGCUAUUUUUCAUUUUUAAUUGACGGGUGCAGAGGCGGUUCAACCACCAGGCCAACUAGGCAGUUCCCUGUGGCACCAUCUUGUUGGGGGCGCCAUCGAGGCAACUCCUGUCUCCUGCGGCCUGCCUCCACAAGAGUGGAUAUAUUUGGAGACUUGGCUGGCUCCAGGAUGGAGAAGGUCCGACCUUAUGGAGCCUCGGGGCCCGCAGAUUGGUGCCGGUGUCGACCACGUAAAUCCGGGAGGAGAUCAAACUGGGGAGGAUGAGGCGGUUGCGCUUCUUGGUGGUGUCUCCGAAGCAGCUGCUGCAGGCGUUCCACCCGGUGUGGUGCAGCUCAUCGUUGACGUUGGGCAUCGGGAGGCGAUGGAUCACCUGGAAAAUAAAGGCAGAGGUACAUCUGAAGGCGUUUCCCCCCCUUCGUUCCUCCCUCCUCGUUCUCUGUCUGGCUCCAGCAGUUUCUUAGCAGCAUCAGCACUGGGAAGAGUCACAAAAUCUCUGAUAGCGGAGCUUCUUGUGGCACCCAGCUCCCCAUUUCCCCGCUUCUUCGUUCUCAGUCUGUGAUGUCUCAUGGGCCUUGUAGUCCCGUUCCUAGUACUAUUGUGGCAGAUGAGGAGGAAAACAUGGGAUUUCCACCGGUUCAGCCUGAAUCGGAGCCCCUGCACCUGGAGGAUGUUUGCCCUCAAGAAGUCAGCCAAACAAGCCUUGGGCAGAAUUCUCCCCCGUUUUCUCGUAGGGACAAUUAUAAUAGAGAUAGAGGAACUAGGGAGGCGAAUCGCCGGAGCGCCAGAAUCGCAGCCAAACAAUUAGCUGAUUAGGUCUUCUUCCCUUGGGAAAUUCUAAGGAGUCAUGCAUCUGGACACAGUUUGGGUUUCACUUCUUGUUCUCCAGGGAAAGUGUUCCUUGGCGGGAAAACAAGAUCCUAUAUAGGUGUUUUGCCGCAAGAGGAACCUUGCGGAGUCAACUCGUCAGCUUGAGGAGUGAGAUCGUGUGUGGACUACGCAACUCCAGUUCCUUGUUUCAAAGACCAAGUUCCAAGCCUGCCUUGUUCCCCGGACCUCGCCACGGACCUUGUUCUUGUUUCUCGUUGCCUCGUAUCAAGUCUUGUCUGCCAAGAAUCUAGUUUGUUUUCCAGCCUUGUUGUCAAGUUCCAAUGGACUAAAAGACCUUGUCAUUUCCCCACACUUUGCCCGGCAAAGUGUGUGUUUCCGUUAUUGGAUUAUAACUUUGGACCUUAAUAUCACAUAUUGGACAUUAUUUUCCUGGACUAUAUUUGACCUUUCCUGAAAGGUCUAUUUCUGAACUUUAUUCUUCACUUGUUUUUAUUGACUUUAUAUAUUCCUUUAAUAAAGAUAUUAGAUAGAGA